GGUCAUGGGUGUGUCGCCUGGGUCAUUCCGGGGCUGGGCGGUUUGACUGCAGUGAUUACAAAUAUCAACGGAAGCAUAAACAUUGGUUAUUCCUGUUCCCAGAGGAGAGUGAACAAAAAGAAGCUACCUUGUACUAUCAGAAGAACAUGGUCAUGUCCCUGCUGGCCUCUUUCUUGUACGCUGUACACCUGUGGGAGAACCUAGAAACCCUGGAUGGUUUGACUGCCUCAGUCACCAACUACUUCGUGUGUGUGUGUGUGUGUGUGUGUGUGUGUGUGUGUGUAGCUCUGUGUGUAUGAUCCUGGCAACACAUCAUGCAGGUGGAAGCCAUGCUGUUGCUCAAGACUAAGCAAGGAAUGGUUCCUACCUAUGUUCAGGCCCCUCUUUUUCCCGGAAACUCAUAGCAGCUGCUGCCUGAGAUGAUUUUGAAGUAGACCAAUUCAGUACAAAGGCAUAUGAAAAACCAGAUUUGCAAGUUUUAAAGGAGGUGAAAAAUGAAUCAUCAGA